UGGAUGUGUGUGCUCGCGUUAUGCC
rnacentral:misc_RNA from 1 species